UACGUAGGGCGCAAGCGUUAUCCGGAAUUAUUGGGCGUAAAGAGCUCGUAGGCGGUUUGUCGCGUCUGCCGUGAAAGUCCGGGGCUCAACUCCGGAUCUGCGGUGGGUACGGGCAGACUAGAGUGAUGUAGGGGAGACUGGAAUUCCUGGUGUAGCGGUGAAAUGCGCAGAUAUCAGGAGGAACACCGGUGGCGAAGGCGGGUCUCUGGGCAGUAACUGACGCUGAGG
rnacentral:rRNA from 1 species